rnacentral:lncRNA from 1 species
GUUAUUAUUGUUUACGACAUAGUUUCGUGCCAUUUACGGCAAUGUUAACAAUAUCACAACGACAUGCCUAGCAGAAAGAAGAAGGUCGGUUUUUUAUAAACUGUCAGGCAGACACUUACAAGAACAGAGUAGACAACAUUUCUAGACCCGAUUUAGCAACAACUGAUUUUGAUACACCACCUACACUCGAUUUUGAUACGUUUUUUACACCCAAUUUUGAUACUACUUUUACACCCGAUUUUGAUACAUCUUUUACACCAG